rnacentral:misc_RNA from 1 species
CAACGAAAGCUUUCGUUCCAAAGGCGAGGGAAAUUAGCGCUGUUGCUAAUUGGUCGAUCUCCAUAUCGGCGUUUUGAAAGAGAUGCUGGCCGCCCUUGAGGGGAGGUUGUUGACGGGGGGCAACGUUCGUGGAAGAUAGGAGAAACCUAUCUUCCACGAACGUUGCCCCCCGUCAACAACCUCCCCUCAAGGGUGGCCAGCAUCUCUUUCAAAACGCCGAUAUGGAGAUCGACCAAUUAGCAACAGCGCUAAUUUCCCUCGCCUUUGGAACGA